rnacentral:lncRNA from 1 species
UUAUGAAUCAGUGUUUGUGCAAAAAAAAAUAUAUAUAUACAUAUGAUGGCAAAUCCUAAUCAUCCGAGUAGUCUUCAUCGGUUUCAGCAGUUUUCGUUAUUGCAAACUCUGUUUUAACAGACUCACGUUUGACAGGCGCUUCUAUGUUAGCAACGAAGCAAAUCACGUUGUUGUAAGAGACAUCUUCUUCAGCACUUACUCUCUUUGAAUCACUUAACAUUGUUUUAAGUGAUUUUUCCUUUCGUUUCUGUAGAUUUGCACACUCAGCUUUAAUGUGUCCGAUGUCCAAAACCUUGAACACUCAUGACAUUGAACUUGCCUUUUCGCUUUCCUUAGAUCAUCUCUUCCACCAUACUCCAUGCUGGAUUUUGAGAGGUUUUUGUCUUUCAAUAACUCUAGUUUCUUCAUGUAUCUCCCAAUCUUCUUCGUGAACAUCACCUAAUUUUCGUUUUCAUCAUCACUUUUUCUUUCGGUGGAGAGAAACGCAAGACUUCUUGCUCUUGCAGCGAGACCUCUGUUCUGAUCUUGCAUCCUCUUCUCCAUUUCAUAGGUUUGAAGAGAUCCAGUAAGCUCUUCAAGCUUCAUCUUAAUUUGUCACAUCGUUUGACUCCGUCAUCGCUGUCUUUUUGGGAGCAAACUUAUCGGGCAGAGACCUCAACACCUUCAUAACCAUAUCAAAUUCCAAGUAUUCUUUUCCAAGAGAAUAUGAUUCAUUCGCGAUGUCUCUAAGUUCUUUAUCGGGCAGAGACGUCAAUACCUCAUAACCAUAUCAAAUUCCGAGUAUUCUUUUCCAAGAGAAUAUGAUUCAUUCGCGAUGUCUCUAAGCUCUUUAUAAAAAUUCGCUAUGGUGCUGUCAUGCUGCAUCAAUAAACUAUCAAAGAGAGAUUUCAUCAUAAUAAGUUAUGGAAUAUCAUCAAACUUGAUCUUAUUGCUUUGAUCUAUGCGUCGUUUCCUGCGUUAGUUGAGUAAAAAAGUAUAGGGACUGUAGACGAUUAAUUCUAUAACCAAUGAUAAAUUGAUCAUUCGUGUUUUGUAUGUCCGACACUUGGAAGUAAACAUACAUUCUUUAGUAUUGUGAACUGAUAAAUGUCCACACGAAUCCGCAUCUAACUAUGUCCAAUCGCACCAGAAAAUUUUAACUUUUUCAUGUGUUUUGUGUUUCUCUUCGUUGUUCAAAAGGUU